rnacentral:rRNA from 1 species
UACGUAGGUGGCAAGCGUUGUCCGGAUUUACUGGGCGUAAAGAGCGCGCAGGCGGUCGUUCAAGUCGCGUGUGAAAGCCCCCGGCUCAACUGGGGAGGGUCACGCGAUACUGAUCGACUCGAAGGCAGGAGAGGGUAGUGGAAUUCCCGGUGUAGUGGUGAAAUGCGUAGAUAUUGGGAGGAACACCAGUGGCGAAGGCGGCUCACUGGACCGGAACUGACGCUGAGGCGCGAAAGCGUGGGGAGCAAACAGG